CUCAUGAACACACCGGAAGUCAAAGGCAGCGGCCUCUCACAAAUGGAGGACAGUCAUUUAAUUCUGCACCGUUAUUAAGAUGAAAUCCCUCUGCUUCCAACUACAGGGUCUGAGGUGGUGGGGGUGACAUUUACCCAGGCGCUGGUCCACCGGUGAUGACCUUGCACCAGGAAAUGGCCUGCUCUAGCUUCUUCCCACUCCAGGCUUGCGUGUAAUAGAAAAGCACCUCUCUCUUCCUGAAACACAUCUAUCACUGGAAGUGGCAGCACACACCUGUGGUCCAACAUUCAGGAGGCUGAGACAGGAGGAUUGUUGUGAGUUCAAGGCCAGCCUGAACUACUUAGCAGGACCCUAUCUCAAAACAAAACAAAACAAAACCCCCAAAAUAAAAUUCAUCUAUGUUCUCCACUCAGCACAGGACUGGGGGAUUACAAGACCACAGAACACUCUGGAACCUGGGCCAGCCUACACCUUUUAGGAGCCCAUCCCCUUUGACUCACCUGCAGGCCCCAAAAGACCCAGGCUACAAACACACCCAGGUCCACCGCAGGCUUCAUCCCUGGCCACCUGAUGCAGCCAGGGACUCUAGAACAGUAAGCUCACACCUUUGCUCACGGUAAGGGAACCUGAGGUUGCUCACCGAGAUCACAAGCAGUCUUGAGAUGCUCGGAGGUGUCCCUUCCCUUCACAGAAAAUGUUACCCUAUUGGUAGAACUAAGCAACCAUGUACAAUGUUGGGGGGGCACACCUAGGGGUACAGCCCUGCUCUGUGGGAACUGUUCACCCAGCUUAGCUCUGGAAAAUCACUCCAGUAACAAAGGGACAGGCUGUUGGACACAGGAGGGUGGCACUGGCCUGACCUCAGGGUGCUGACUCCAAAAGCUGCUGUCCUCACCUUCCACCUCUGUACCCAAAGCUGGGCUGAGGGCAGAGCCGCAGGGUACACCCAGUGAGGGCCCCUUGGAUGAGCAGCUCUGUCUGCUACCCAAGGACAGGACAAAGGUAGGGAAGAGGAUGCUGUGGAGACCCGAGUCCCAUGAGUCUGGAGCUAUGCUCAUCGCUCUCCUUGGUGGCAGCAUGACGCUGGUCCUGAGAAUGUCCCCUCUUCCCUGGCUGCCAUCAGGACCUCCCCAAGUGCGUCCAAGGCCAAGGACAUAAGAAGCUGGUCCAGCGAUAAAGAUAGCAUUAGCACGUACAGAUGCUCUGAGAAUCUCUGCUGCCCACGGUGAGGUAGGAACUUACACACCUGCCAAUCGGAACCAGCUAGAGGGACCCCACUUACUUAGGGGGCUUCCCCAUACCCUGUGAGUUUCAGUUACAGGAGCGGCCUGGACUCUAGGACCCUUAACUGGUUCCCAAGAAAGCAGCCCUGGGCCGGGAUUUAGCUCAGUGGUGCUCUCGCCUGCCUCACAAACCCAAGGUCCUGAAUUCGAUCCCUGGUACCAAAAAAAAAAAAGAAAGCAGCCCUGAUCUCUACCCUAUGUCUCCUAAGGAAGCUUCAAGCCCUAACCAGAUGGGGUAGCCACAGCAGGGACCCCCUGCUCCCCAGAACAUGUGAGAUCCAAGAAAUGGAGGGGCAUCUACACCUGCACCUGUCCCCAAAGCCACUUUCCCAGCUGGCUAAGAGCAGACACCAGCAAGAAGGACUGAGGCACAUAAAUGGUGCUGAGCCCCAAAUAUCACUGUGGGUUGCCAACUCCUCUGUGGGGUGCUCCAUGAGGUAUCUCUGUAUGAUGAGAACUUCCCUGGUUGGGACCAGUGUGGCAAUCCCUGUCCCAGCUGGUGAGGGGGAGGAGGGAACAGAGAACGGCCAGGGCUGGCCCUGGCUUGGUAGUGGUCCUGGUUUGCUGAAGGUGGGAAGGCUUGGUCAGAGUCAGUGCCUCGGAUCCAGGACCCACAGGCCACGAAGAGAAGCAGCACCUAUCCAGCCAGCUCAGUGGCCUUCCAUAAUCCAGGUGGUGACAGAAGACCCUGGGGAGAAGGGCAAGGGAUAACUUCUGCCAUGGCUUGGCUUCAAAGCCUCAUGCAGGAGAUCCACCCAAGUGCAGUGUAGGAUGAGCCGAUGCCAGACACGAAGAUGGCCAGGCCAGAAAGAUCCAGUGUCACGAGAGGGACAGCUAAGGCCUGCUGUUCACAGCAGGGUGGCCAUCUGUAGAACAGCGUGGGGACUCAGGGGCUGUGAUGUGGGAGGAGUGUUAGAGGGGAGCUGGGAGUCUGCACGCAGCUCCUCAUAGCUGCAGUGGCUGGGCUGGGCAGAAAAGAGGUGGCCCUAAGAGGGCCCAGUCACAUGCCUCAGGCCUUCACAGGGCCCCCACUCUGUCCACUUCUUCAGGUUGGUGGCCUCCGGUCCCUCCCAGCUCCAAUGACAAGGGCAGGAAAGGUGCUGGGCUCUGCCCAGCCUGGGUACAGAGGAAUGAGGACAUCAGGAUGCUGUGUGGUCCAGGGAAGAGGGCGUCUACCAUCUCGUUUUAUUUUGCGGGGACUGAGCCUAA
rnacentral:lncRNA from 1 species